CAAACGUACAACGUUGCAAAUUUGAAAUUUGCUAUCAGCUGAAACACCAACGUGUCGUUAUAUUUAAUAUUGCACGAGUGACCAAUUAUCAGACUUACAAUAUUCUUAGUGAGAACGUUAUCUGUAGUUGUACACGGACUCGACGGAAACCGUGAUGCCGGAGAGCACGUGACAGUCGAAAACGCACGAAUACUACGCCAUAAAUAAUAUUAAAUUAUUUAUGUAUAAUAUGAUGAUAGAUUUACAAUAUUAUUAUAAUCGCUGGUGUAUGGUUUUUUUUUUGUGUUUGAAUGUCCUUGCAGACUCUUCCGCCUAAUAAACUUACGCGGAUC